AAAGAAUAUUAAAAAAUAUAUUUUUUUUUUUUACUUUUUAAGUGUAUGUUAUGUUAUACGUGCAUACACAUAUAUAUGUGUAUAUUACUAUCACAAUUAUAGACUAUAAAAUUAUCAAACGAAAUAAAACAAGAUAUUAAACUGGCCAGAGUAAUUAAAUCACAUUAUCCUAGAGGAAUAGUUGGUGUUGAUUCUGUAUAUAAUGAAAACACUGUGUUAUAUAAAGACAAGUAUGAAGAAAUUAAAAAUAAAGAAAAAUAUAAAAAUAAAAUAUCUCAAGAACGAAGGGAAGCGCUUCAAAAACAAAAUAACAGAAAUGGUGAUAUACUAGCUUUUGAUCCUACUAGUAAAACGUAAAUCCCCAACUAAACCGUUACUGAUGAAUGUUUUUUUUUUCUUUUUUUUUUUUUUAAUAUUAACAAAAGAUAUGGAAAUAUAUGCAUACAUCUAUGUGUAAUUUACGUAUUUUACUACAUCCAUCAAUAUGAUUUUAUAAAAAAGAGUGUACAUUUAUAAAUUUUUUAUUAUUUGUUUAACAAUAAUUGGACAAACUAUAUAUUGUGAAUUUUUUUAAAUUAUUUGAUUUUAUUUUUAAUACUGCAUUUGUAUAUAUAUUUUUAUAUUAUUUCGUUUAUCAAAUUAAACAUUACAAGUAAGCAACUAUGGAAAAUAUAUAUAUAUAUAUGAAUAAAACACAAAAAAAAAAAAAAAAAAGUUAUUUU
ensembl:lncRNA